rnacentral:rRNA from 1 species
UACGAAGGGUGCGAAGCGUUACUCGGAAUUACUGGGCGUAAAGCGUGCGUAGGUGGUUCGUUAAGUCUGUCGUGAAAGCCCCGGGCUCAACCUGGGAAUGGCGAUGGAUACUGGCGAGCUAGAGUGCGGUAGAGGAGAGUGGAAUUCCCGGUGUGAGCAGUGAAAUGCGUAGAGAUCGGGAGGAACAUCAGUUGCGAAGGCGGCUCUCUGGACCAGCACUGACACUGAGGCACGAAAGCGUGGGGAGCAAACAGG